rnacentral:rRNA from 1 species
GACGAACGCUGGCGGCAUGCCUAAUACAUGCAAGUCGAGCGAACAGAUGAAGUGCUUGCACUUCUGACGUUAGCGGCGAACGGGUGAGUAACACGUAAGGAAUCUACCUAUAAGCGGGGGAUAACAUUCGGAAACGGGUGCUAAUACCGCAUAAUAUCUUCUUCCGCAUGGAAGAAGAUUGAAAGGCGGCUCUGCUGUCACUUAUAGAUGACCUUGCGGUGCAUUAGUUAGUUGGUGGGGUAACGGCCUACCAAGACGAUGAUGCAUAGCCGACCUGAGAGGGUGAUCGGCCACAUUGGGACUGAGACACGGCCCAAACUCCUACGGGAGGCAGCAGUAGGGGAUCUUCCGCAAUGGGCGAAAGCCUGACGGAGCAAUGCCGCGUGAGUGAAGAAGGCCUUCGGGUCGUAAAACUCUGUUAUAAGAGAAGAACAAAUUGUAGAGUAACUGCUACAGUCUUGACGGUAUCUUAUCAGAAAGCCACGGCUAACUACGUGCCAGCCGCCGCCGUAA